rnacentral:rRNA from 1 species
AUGAACGCUGGCGGCGUGCCUAAUACAUGCAAGUCGAGCGAACGGACGAGAAGCUUGCUUCUCUGAUGUUAGCGGCGGACGGGUGAGUAACACGUGGAUAACCUACCUAUAAGACUGGGAUAACUUCGGGAAACCGGAGCUAAUACCGGAUAAUAUUUUGAACCGCAUGGUUCAAAAGUGAAAGACGGUCUUGCUGUCACUUAUAGAUGGAUCCGCGCUGCAUUAGCUAGUUGGUAAGGUAACGGCUUACCAAGGCAACGAUGCAUAGCCGACCCGAGAGGGUGAUCGGCCACACUGGAACUGAGACACGGUCCAGACUCCUACGGGAGGCAGCAGUAGGGAAUCUUCCGCAAUGGGCGAAAGCCUGACGGAGCAACGCCGCGUGAGUGAUGAAGGUCUUCGGAUCGUAAAACUCUGUUAUUAGGGAAGAACAUAUGUGUAAGUAACUGUGCACAUCUUGACGGUACCUAAUCAGAAAGCCACGGCUAACUACGUG